rnacentral:rRNA from 1 species
AGUGAACGCUGGCGGUAGGCCUAACACAUGCAAGUCGAACGGCGGCACAGUAAGAGCUUGCUCUUACGGGUGGCGAGUGGCGGACGGGUGAGGAAUACAUCGGAAUCUACUUUUUCGUGGGGGAUAACGUAGGGAAACUUACGCUAAUACCGCAUACGACCUACGGGUGAAAGCAGGGGAUCUUCGGACCUUGCGCGAUUGAAUGAGCCGAUGUCGGAUUAGCUAGUUGGCGGGGUAAAGGCCCACCAAGGCGACGAUCCGUAGCUGGUCUGAGAGGAUGAUCAGCCACACUGGAACUGAGACACGGUCCAGACUCCUACGGGAGGCAGCAGUGGGGAAUAUUGGACAAUGGGCGCAAGCCUGAUCCAGCCAUACCGCGUGGGUGAAGAAGGCCUUCGGGUUGUAAAGCCCUUUUGUUGGGAAAGAAAAGCAGCAGGUUAAUACCCCGCUGUUCUGACGGUACCCAAAGAAUAAGCACCGGCUAGCUUCGUG